rnacentral:rRNA from 1 species
UGGGGAAUAUUGCACAAUGGGGGGAAACCCUGAUGCAGCGACGCCGCGUGAAGGAAGAAGUAUUUCGGUAUGUAAACUUCUAUCAGCAGGGAAGAAAAUGACGGUACCUGACUAAGAAGCCCCGGCUAACUACGUGCCAGCAGCCGCGGUAAUACGUAGGGGGGCAAGCGUUAUCCGGAUUUACUGGGUGUAAAGGGAGUGUAGACGGCUUUGCAAGUCAGAUGUGAAAGCCCGGGGCUCAACCCCGGGACUGCAUUUGAAACUGCAGAUGCUAGAGUGUCGGAGAGGUAAGCGGAAUUCCUAGUGUAGCGGUGAAAUGCGUAGAUAUUAGGAGGAACACCAGUGGCGAAGGCGGCUUACUGGACGAUGACUG